ensembl:scaRNA
GUAAAAGGUCUGAAGCCUGGUUCUCUCUGUUCCUGAGCUCCUCCCAGCUCCCUGCUGUUCUCCCAGCAUGCUCUAGGUGUGUGUAGCUGGUUUGCAGGGGGCUGAUAUUGAGGCGGCUGUGCUGAGUGUGUGUCUCUGAGAGCAGCGAAAUAAACACACAGCGUCGCCCCACACACACACACACACACACACACACACACACACACACACACACACACACACACACACUUACAGGAGGAUGGAGGUUCAGCAGAGACACAGUAGAGGCUCAUGAUCUCCAGUUUUCAAGCUGA